rnacentral:tRNA from 1 species
GAUGCAAUGGUCUAGCGGUCAGAACACUAGCCUUGUAAGCCUGGGGUCCCGGGUUCAAUUCCCGGUGGUUCU